CUACGUGCCAGCAGCCGCGGUAAUACGGAGGAUGCGAGCGUUAUCCGGAUUUAUUGGGUUUAAAGGGUGCGUAGGCGGUUUGUUAAGUCAGCGGUGAAAUCUAGAGGCUCAACCUCGAAACUGCCGUUGAAACUGGCGAACUUGAGUGUAGAUGAGGUAGGCGGAAUUCGUGGUGUAGCGGUGAAAUGCAUAGAUAUCACGAGGAACUCCGAUUGCGAAGGCAGCUUACUAAGGUACAACUGACGCUGAAGCACGAAAGCGUGGGUAUCAAACAGGAUUAGAUACCCUGGUAGUCCACGCAGUAAACGAUGAUAACUGGGCGUAUGCGAUAUACAGUAUGCUCCUAAGCGAAAGCGUUAAGUUAUCCACCUGGGGAGUACGCCGGCAACGGUGAAACUCAAAGGAAUUGACGGGGGCCCGCACAAGCGGAGGAACAUGUGGUUUAAUUCGAUGAUACGCGAGGAACCUUACCCGGGAUUGAA
rnacentral:rRNA from 1 species